rnacentral:lncRNA from 1 species
UGGGCACAUGCUUCCUAUAUGCUCAGCCAGGUAUGCCUUUCUUUAAAGAUCUCAAAUCCCUCUAUUUCGAAAAUUGAAUCCAUCACAUUUAAUUUCCUACACCAGAAAAACAAAAUUAAUUCGACAUAUCUUCUAUAAAACUCGUAUAAUUUCAGGUACUGGGUGCUGAAAACGAGGCGAAAAAGAAGCUUAAGCACAUUGUCAUGGCAGCCACAAGGUGGUAUUAGAUAUGAAAAUCUACAUGUAUUAACUAACAAGUUAUAGCCAAAUAAACCAAUGAAUUUACAUUUCGUUUUUCGAUAUAUAAACAGAGAACAGAGAUUCGAGAGGGUGACAAAGAAUCUGAAGGUGGCUAGAGUAUUUACCACACUAGUGGAGGAGAUGAAAGCAAUCGGACUAGUAUCUCUCGACGAUUCACAGUGCACGAACGUGAUGGUGCCGAUGGCUCAUAAAGACAGAAGCCCGGUGCUCCUCCUCAUGGGUGGCGGCAUGGGAGCCGGCAAGAGUACUGUGCUCAAAGACAUUCUCAAAGAGUAAGCUAAAAAAAGAAAUGUUAAAUUUAUCAACUCCAAAUAAAUAGAAAAUAGAGAUAGAAUUAUUACAUUGUAGGAUUAACCCGAAUUUUGGAACAGACCAUUCUGGGCUGGAGCAUCUGGAAACGCAGUCGUAAUAGAAGCAGAUGCGUUCAAAGAAUCUGACGUCAUUUACAGAGCUCUAAGCUCUAGGGGCCACCACGACAUGCUUCAAACUGCUGAACUGGUAUUAUAUUUAUUCAUUGUCCAAUAA